rnacentral:other from 1 species
AAGCCCCUGCUGUGUGCGUGAUUGAUAUGCCCUUUGACCCAAUGUUGUAAAAAAGGGAGCUUUCUCUGGUACUGGUGUGCAUGUUCUGUACGCUGUCAGAAAAGCCUGAAGGUAUCAUAAGGCACCCACUUGAACCGAACGGUUCAAAGGUUUUCCAACACGGCACAUGCGGGGGCAUG